rnacentral:rRNA from 1 species
CGGAUUCUGGCUCAGGAUGAACGCUAGCGGCAGGCUUAACACAUGCAAGUCGAGGGGCAUCGGGAGUAGCAAUACUGCCGGCGACCGGCGCAAGGGUGCGUAACGCGUGAGCAACAUGCCCGUAUCAGGGGGGAUAAUCCAUGGAAACGUGGUCUAAUACCCCAUAGUAAUUAUGUAAGGCAUCUUAUAUAAUUUAAAGCUUUGGUGGAUACGGAUUGGCUCGCGUGACAUUAGCUGGAUGGUAAGGUAACGGCUUACCAUGGCUACGAUGUCUAGGGGUUCUGAGAGGAAGGUCCCCCACACUGGAACUGAGACACGGUCCAGACUCCUACGGGAGGCAGCAGUGAGGAAUAUUGGACAAUGGAUGGAAAUCUGAUCCAGCCAUGCCGCGUGCAAGGAAGACGGCCCUAUGGGUUGUAAACUGCUUUUGUAUGGGAGCAAUAAGGGCUACGUGUAGUCCGAUGAGAGUACCAUACGAAUAAGCACCGGCUAACUCCGUGCCAGCCGCCGC